AGUAUGGUACAAAAGAUGUUUUUUGACAGAAUUGCCGCGGCCACUCUAACAUUCGACGAAAAGUGAAAGUGUACAAAGUGAAACAUUUACAUAUGUUGUUUCUUUAUUUUUGCAAAUGUCAAAUGGCUGGCCAAGAUGCUGAACUGGGCAAGUUGGCGUUCACCACUUCGCUGGAAAGCUUCUAUCGAGGACAGAAGAAGGACUUCCUGGCGCUGAUGCAAAGCUACAGGAGGCAUCCGAGUACAGAGUGAUCGGUCAUUUAUUGCUAAGUCCUGGAAUAAUUUUUAUAAUUGAUCCGAAAUAUAUAAAAAAUAAAUAUUUACAGCGAUCUUA